rnacentral:rRNA from 1 species
AUUGAACGCUGGCGGCAUGCCAUACACAUGCAAGUCGAACGGCAGCACGGGAGCAAUCCUGGUGGCGAGUGGCGAACGGGUGAGUAAUAUAUCGGAACGUGCCCAGUCGUGGGGGAUAACGCAGCGAAAGCUGUGCUAAUACCGCAUACGAUCUACGGAUGAAAGCGGGGGAUCGCAAGACCUCGCGCGAUUGGAGCGGCCGAUAUCAGAUUAGCUAGUUGGUGAGGUAAAGGCUCACCAAGGCGACGAUCUGGAGCUGGUCUGAGAGGACGACCAGCCACACGGGAACUGAGACACGGUCCAGACUCCUACGGGAGGCAUCAGUGGGGAAUUUUGGACAAUGGGCGCAAGCCUGAUCCAGCAAUGCCGCGUGCAGGAUGAAGGCCUUCGGGUUGUAAACUGCUUUUGUACGGAACGAAACGGUGAGCUCUAAUACAGUUUGCUAAUGACGGUACCGUAAGAAUAAGCACCGGCUAACUACGUGCCAGCCGCCGCCGUAAAAC